rnacentral:rRNA from 1 species
AGUGGCGGACGGGUGAGUAAUGCAUAGAUAACCUACCCCCGAGAUGGGAAUAACGCUUCGAAAGGAGUGCUAAUACCCAAUGCCGUCUCAUACCGUAGGGUGUGAGAUGAAAGGAGGCCUCUGAUUCAAGCUUCCGCUCAGGGAGGGGUUUAUGUCCUAUUAGCUAGUUGGCGAGGUAAUGGCUCACCAAGGCUUCGAUGGGUAGCCGACCUGAGAGGGUGACCGGCCACACUGGGACUGAGACACUGCCCAGACUCCUACGGGAGGCUGCAGUCGAGAAUCUUCCGCAAUGCGCGCAAGCGUGACGGAGCGACGCCGCGUGGGUGAUGAAGGCCUUCGGGUUGUAAAGCCCUGUUAGCUACUAUGAAACACGGGCGAUGAACAAUUGUCCCGUUUGACAAAAGUAGCAGAGGAAGCACCGGCUAACUACGUGCCAGCAGCCGCGGUAAUACGUAGGGUGCGAACGUUGUUCGGAAUCACUGGGCAUAAAGCGCGUGUAGGCGGUUCAGCAAGUCAGGUGUGAAAUCCCUCGGCUUAACCGGGGCCCUGCAUCUGAUACUGCUGUGCUAGAGUGCAGGAGGGGAGAGUGGAAUUCCUGGUGGAGCGGUGAAAUGCGUAGAUAUCAGGAGGAACGCCGGUGGCGAAAGCGACUCUCUGGUCUGCCACUGACGCUGAGGCGCGAAAGCUAGGGGAGCAAACGGGAUUAGAUACCCCGGUAGUCCUAGCCCUAAACGAUGGGUACUAAGUAGGGGAAAUUCCGAUAUUUUCUCUGCCGGAGCAAAUGUAUUAAGUACCCCGCCUGGGGAGUAUGGUCGCAAGGCUAAAACUCAAAGGAAUUGACGGGGGCUCACACAAGCGGUGGAGCAUGUUGUUCAAUUCGAAGCAACGCGAAGAACCUUACCUGGUCUUGACAUCCUCGGAACCGUGCAGAGAUGCGUGGGUGCCUUCGGGAACCGAGAGACAGGUGCUGCAUGGCUGUCGUCAGCUCGUGUCGUGAGAUGUUGGGUUAAGUCCCGUAACGAGCGCAACCCUUAUCCUUAGUUGCCAACAGGUGAAGCUGGGAACUCUAAGGAGACUGCCGGUGAUAAACCGGAGGAAGGUGGGGACGACGUCAAGUCAUCAUGGCCCUUAUGACCAGGGCUACACACGUGCUACAAUGGCCGGUACAGAGGGCGGCGACCUCGUGAGAGCAAGCAAAUCCCAGAAAGCCGGUCCUAGUCCGGAUUGCAGUCUGCAACUCGACUGCAUGAAGUCGGAAUCGCUAGUAAUCGCGAAUCAGAAUGUCGCGGUGAAUACGUUCCCGGGCCUUGUACACACCGCCCGUCACACCAUGGGAGUGGGUUGCAAAAGAAGUAGGUAGUCUAACCGCGAGGGGGGC